rnacentral:lncRNA from 1 species
UGAGUCCAGCCAAGACUAUGAACAGAAUCUGCCUGUUUAGAGGUGGAAUUUACUCACCUGAAUCAGAAGGGGAUGGCAUGGGACAGGAAAAAAUAAGGUUCUGGCUUCUAAUGAGAAACAGCCGUGUGUGGAAUAAAAUUAGUAAUUCGACUUGCUUGCCAGCUUCCUCCAGAGCCUAAGAUCAUCCCUCCUCGUCUCUAAACAAUAUGCCAAUCACCAAGAUGGAAGUGAGGGGCUGCACGGUCCCGACUGCACCAAACAUAACCCAGGCCCUGCGCAGAAGACACGCAAGGAGCCCAG